rfam:Trichosporon oleaginosus strain IBC0246 unplaced genomic scaffold CC85scaffold_31, whole genome shotgun sequence.
GGCAACGUGGCGGAGUGGUUAACGCGAUUGACUAGAAUUUGGAAUAUAUUCCAGGAGCUACGAUCAAUUUCCUUCGGGAGCGUCUGUUCGAAUCAGGCCGUUGUCG